AGGGUUCGAUCAUGGCUCAGAACGUACGCUGGCGGCACGCCUAACACAUGCAAGUCGAACGAAGUAGCAAUACUUAGUGGCAGACGGGUGAGUAACAUGUAGGUAUCUACCCUUUGGCCUGGAAUAACACGAGGAAACUUGUGCUAAUACCGGAUAAGUCUUUACGGAGAAAGCUUUAUGCACCAUUGGAUGAGCCUGCACUUGAUUAGUUUGUUGGUGGGGUAAUGGCCUACCAAGACUGUGAUCAAUAGCUGAUUUGAGAGGAUGAUCAGCCACAUUGGGACUGAGACACGGCCCAAACUCCUACGGGAGGCAGCAGUGGGGAAUCUUGCACAAUGGAGGAAACUCUGACGCAGCGAUGCCGCGUGAGUGAAGAAGGCCCUUGGGUUGUAAAGCUCUUUCGUCGGGGAAGAAAAUGACUGUACCCGAAUAAGAAGGUCCGGCUAACUUCGUGCCAGCAGCCGCGGUAAUACGAAGGGACCUAGCGUAGUUCGGAAUUACUGGGCUUAAAGAGUUCGUAGGUGGUUGAAAAAGUUAGUGGUGAAAUCCCAGAGCUUAACUCUGGAACUGCCAUUAAAACUUUUCAGCUAGAGUAUGAUAGAGGAAAGCAGAAUUUCUAGUGUAGAGGUGAAAUUCGUAGAUAUUAGAAAGAAUACCAAUUGCGAAGGCAGCUUUCUGGAUCAUUACUGACACUGAGGAACGAAAGCAUGGGUAGCGAAGAGGAUUAGAUACCCUCGUAGUCCAUGCCGUAAACGAUGUGUGUUAGACGUUGGAAAUUUAUUUUCAGUGUCGCAGCGAAAGCGAUAAACACACCGCCUGGGGAGUACGACCGCAAGGUUAAAACUCGAAUGAAUUGACGGGGACCCGCACAAGUAGUGGAGCAUGUGGUUUAAUUCGAAGAUACGCGCAGAACCUUACCAACACUUGACAUGUUCGUCGCGACUCUAAGAGAUUAGAGUUUUCGGUUCGGCCGGACGAAACACAGGUGCUGCAUGGCUGUCGUCAGCUCGUGUCGUGAGAUGUUGGGUUAAGUCCCGCAACGAGCGCAACCCUCACUUUUAGUUGCCGUCAUUUAGUUGGGCACUCUGAAAGAACUGCCAGUGAUAAGCUGGAGGAAGGUGGGGAUGACGUCAAGUCCUCAUGGCCCUUACGUGUUGGGCUACACACGUGCUACAAUGGUAUCUACAACAGGAAGCAAGACCGCGAGGUUUAGCAAAUCCUUAAAAGAUACCUCAGUUCGGAUUGCACUCUGCAACUCGAGUGCAUGAAGCUGGAAUUACUAGUAAUCGUGGAUCAGCGUGCCACGGUGAAUGCGUUCCCGGGUCUUGUACACACCGCCCGUCACACCAUGGGAGUUGGUUCUACCUUAAGGCAAGGUUUAAAACCCUUGACCACGGUAUAGUCAGCGACUGGGGUGAAGUCGUAACAAGGUAGCCAAGGG
rnacentral:rRNA from 1 species